UUGGGUGUUAAAUAGCCUGGCAGACCUGCCGCAAGCGAUAAAAAAGCAGCAAAAACCGGCGCAAUGAUUAAAAGAUGAGCGGUUGAAAUAAAAAUGCAUUUUUCCGCUUGUCUUCCUGAGCCGACUCCCUAUAAUGCGCCUCCAUCGACACGGCGGAUGUGAAUCACUUCACACAAACAGCCGGUUCGGUUGAAGAGAAAAAAUCCUGAAAUUCAGGGUUGACUCUGAAAGAGGAAAGCGUAAUAUACGCCACCUCGCGACAGUGCGCUAAAGCGCGUCGCAACUGCUCUUUAACAAUUUAUCAGACAAUCUGUGUGGGCACUCGAAGAUACGGAUUCUUAACGUCGCAAGACGAAAAAUGAAUACCAAGUCUCAAGAGUGAACACGUAAUUCAUUACGAAGUUUAAUUCUUUGAGCAUCAAACUUUUAAAUUGAAGAGUUUGAUCAUGGCUCAGAUUGAACGCUGGCGGCAGGCCUAACACAUGCAAGUCGAACGGUAACAGAAAGCAGCUUGCUGCUGCUGACGAGUGGCGGACGGGUGAGUAAUGUCUGGGAAACUGCCUGAUGGAGGGGGAUAACUACUGGAAACGGUAGCUAAUACCGCAUAACGUCGCAAGACCAAAGAGGGGGACCUUCGGGCCUCUUGCCAUCGGAUGUGCCCAGAUGGGAUUAGCUUGUUGGUGGGGUAACGGCUCACCAAGGCGACGAUCCCUAGCUGGUCUGAGAGGAUGACCAGCCACACUGGAACUGAGACACGGUCCAGACUCCUACGGGAGGCAGCAGUGGGGAAUAUUGCACAAUGGGCGCAAGCCUGAUGCAGCCAUGCCGCGUGUAUGAAGAAGGCCUUCGGGUUGUAAAGUACUUUCAGCGGGGAGGAAGGGAGUAAAGUUAAUACCUUUGCUCAUUGACGUUACCCGCAGAAGAAGCACCGGCUAACUCCGUGCCAGCAGCCGCGGUAAUACGGAGGGUGCAAGCGUUAAUCGGAAUUACUGGGCGUAAAGCGCACGCAGGCGGUUUGUUAAGUCAGAUGUGAAAUCCCCGGGCUCAACCUGGGAACUGCAUCUGAUACUGGCAAGCUUGAGUCUCGUAGAGGGGGGUAGAAUUCCAGGUGUAGCGGUGAAAUGCGUAGAGAUCUGGAGGAAUACCGGUGGCGAAGGCGGCCCCCUGGACGAAGACUGACGCUCAGGUGCGAAAGCGUGGGGAGCAAACAGGAUUAGAUACCCUGGUAGUCCACGCCGUAAACGAUGUCGACUUGGAGGUUGUGCCCUUGAGGCGUGGCUUCCGGAGCUAACGCGUUAAGUCGACCGCCUGGGGAGUACGGCCGCAAGGUUAAAACUCAAAUGAAUUGACGGGGGCCCGCACAAGCGGUGGAGCAUGUGGUUUAAUUCGAUGCAACGCGAAGAACCUUACCUGGUCUU
rnacentral:rRNA from 1 species